rnacentral:rRNA from 1 species
AUGUCUAAGUUCAAGCACUUGUACUGUGAAACUGCGAAUGGCUCAUUAUAACAGUUAUAGUUUAUUUGGUAAAUUUUUAUAUGGAUAACCGUAGUAAUUCUAGAGCUAAUACAUGUAUCCUUCGGGAGCGUUUAUUGGAAGUAACCAACUAUUUUUGGUGAGUCACAAUAAAUAAGCAUAUCGCUAGUCGAUAAACCAUUCAAGUUUCUGCCCUAUCAGCUGUAGAUGGUAGAGUAUUGUACUAACAUGGCUAAAACGGGUGACGGAGGAUUGGGGUCUGAUUCCGGAGAGGGAGCCUGAGAAACGGCUACCACUUCCAAGGAAGGCAGCAGGCGCGUAAAUUACCCAAUCCCAAUACGGGGAGGUAGUGACAAGAAAUAACAAUACCGGGCUUUUACAAGUCUGGUAAUUGGAAUGAGUACAAUUCAAAAUCCUUAUCGAGGAGCAAUUGGAGGGCAAGUCUGGUGCCAGCAGCCGCGGUAAUACCAGCUCCAGAAGCGUAUAUUAAUACUGUUGCAGUUAAAAGGCUCGUAGUCGAUUUUUUGAAAUAUAUGUGAGGUUAUGUAUCUAGUAUACACAAGCAUCAUGUAAUUUCAUCCUUUUGGAGAUAAUCUCUGCUCUUGAUUGAGUUAGUUUUGAUAUCCAAAUCGUUUACUGUGAGUUAAUCAAAGUGUUCAAAGCGGAUCGAAGUCCAGAAUGCUGCAGCAUGGAAUAAUACUAUAGAACUUGGAAUCUAUUUGUUGGCUUCUAGAAUCGAAGUAAUGAUUGAAAGAGGUAGUUGGGGGUGCUAGUAUUUGAUGGUCAGCGGUGAAAUGCACAGACCCGUUAAAGACUCACUAAAGCGAAAGCAUUCACCAAGGAUAUUUUCUUUGAUCAAGAACGAAAGUUGGGGGAUCGAAGACGAUCAGAUACCGUCGUAGUCUCAACCUUAAACCGUGCCGACUAGAGAUUGGCGAAUGUUGAUUAUAGACCUCGUCAGCAGCUUUUGAAGAAAUUAUAGUCUUUGGGUUCUGGGGGGAGUAUGGUCGCAAGGCUGAAAUUUAAAGGAAUUGACGGAAGGGCGCCACCAGGAGUGGAGCUUGCGGCUUAAUUUGACUCAACACGGGGAAACUUACCAGGUCCGGACAUAGUAAGGAUUGACAGAUUGCAGAUCUUUCUAGAUUCUAUGGGUGGUGGUGCAUGGCCGUUCUUAGUUGGUGGAGUGAUUUGUCUGGUUAAUUCCGUUAACGAACGAGACCUCAACCUACUAGUUAGUUUUUCCAAAUUUGUUGUCACCAACAUCUUAGGGGGACCAUUGGCGAUUAGCUGAUGUAGGAUUGAGGCUAUAACAGGUCUGUGAUGCCCUUAGAUGUUCUGGGCUGCACGCGCGCUACACUGUUAUAUGCAACGUGUAUUCCAAAUAGAAAUAUUUGGUUGAUCUCAUAAAUAAUUUACGUGACGGGGCUUGACAUCUGCAAAUAUUUGUCACUAACGAGGAAUUCCUAGUAAUUCUUGGUCAUCAGCUGAGAUUGAAUACGUCCCUGCCCUUUGUACACACCGCCCGUCGCUCCUACCGAUUGAAUGUCCCGGUGAACACUUUGGAGUAGUUGUUCUUGCUAAAAGCUUCCAGUAACAAAGCUGUGUUAACCUUAACAUUUAGAGGAAGGAGAA